AUGAGCUUCCCUCCCUUCCCUUCCUUCCCUCUCACAAAAACAAAAGUUGAGCUAAAAUCUCACUCGCACAACAACCCAACCCCAGCCCUGCUGCUGUGCUGCUGGCUGCUGAGCAAAAACAAAUCCCCACAUCCCCUUCCCUUCCCUUUUCCCCAAAUCAAUCAAUCCCUCCCUCCCUCAAUCACGCGGGCAGGGCAGGCAUCCCCUCCAAGAUUUGAUUUUGCUUCUAAAUCUUUAGGGGAGGGGAGGGGAGGGGAGGGGAGGGGCGAUCCAAGAAGGAAGAUGGAUCAGCAGGAGGAGGAAGCGUCCGUCUCCGUCAGCGUCAGCGUUCCUUCCUCCUUGCCGCCGGAGGAGGAGGAAGAAGAGGAAGAGCAAGAAGAAGAGGAGGAUGACAUGGGUGCGGUGAAGAUGGCGCUGGGCCCUCAGGUUCCCCUCAAGGACCUCCUCCACCUCCACAAGGGGGAGGAGGAGGAGCAGGAGGAUGAGAGCCUCCGCAGAUGGAAGGAGCAGCUCCUUGGACCAGAUGCUCUCCACACAACCAACCUCCUUGCCCUUGCCCUUGGAGCUGAGACCGUCGAACCUGAGGUGACCAUACUCAACCUCACCAUCUUGGCACCAGGGAGGCCUGACCUGGUUUUGCCGAUUCCGUUCGUGCCUGAUGACAAGGGCCACGCCUUCGCGCUCAAGGACGGCACCGCCUACAGCUUCCGCUUCUCCUUCACCGUCUCCAACAACAUCGUGUCCGGUCUCAAGUACUCGCACACCGUCUGGAAGACCCGAGUAAAAGUGGAGAACCAGAAGGUGAUGCUGGGGACAUUCAGCCCUCAGCAGGAGCCCUACACGUACAAGGCUGAAGAAGAUAGCACCCCGAGCGGCAUCUUUGCGAGGGGCUCCUAUUCUGCUAGAUUAAAGUUUGUGGACGAUGAUGGAAAGGUGUACCUGGACAUGAAGUACAGCUUUGAAAUCAGGAAGGACUGGCCUGCCUAA
rnacentral:rRNA from 1 species